rnacentral:rRNA from 15 species
UUUAAGUGAAGAGUUUGAUCCUGGCUCAGAGUGAACGCUGGCGGCAGGCCUAACACAUGCAAGUCGAACGGCAGCACAGUAAGAGCUUGCUCUUAUGGGUGGCGAGUGGCGGACGGGUGAGGAA